UACGUAGGGUGCAAGCGUUGUCCGGAAUUAUUGGGCGUAAAGAGCUCGUAGGCGGUUUGUUGCGUCGGCUGUGAAAUCCCGAGGCUCAACCUCGGGUCUGCAGUCGAUACGAGCAAACUAGAGUGUUGCAGGGGAGACUGGAAUUCCUGGUGUAGCGGUGAAAUGCGCAGAUAUCAGGGAGGAACCACCGGUGGGCGAAGGCGGCCCGCUGG
rnacentral:rRNA from 1 species